rnacentral:tRNA from 7 species
GCACCAUUGGUGUAGUCCGGCCAAUCAUCUUGCCCUUUCGAGGCGAGGACUAGGGUUCAAAUCCCUAAUGGUGCA